rnacentral:hammerhead_ribozyme from 1 species
AUCCAGCUGACGAGUCCCAAAUAGGACGAAAAAACUCACGUUCUGGAU